rnacentral:rRNA from 1 species
AUGAACGCUGGCGGCGUGCUUAACACCUGCAAGUCGAACGAAGCACUUUAUUUGAUUUCCUUCGGGACUGAUUAUUUUGUGACUGAGUGGCGGACGGGUGAGUAACGCGUGGGUAACCUGCCUUGUACAGGGGGAUAACAGUUGGAAACGGCUGCUAAUACCGCAUAAGCGCACGGCAUCGCAUGAUGCAGUGUGAAAAACUCCGGUGGUAUAAGAUGGACCCGCGUUGGAUUAGCUAGUUGGUGAGGUAACGGCCCACCAAGGCGACGAUCCAUAGCCGACCUGAGAGGGUGACCGGCCACAUUGGGACUGAGACACGGCCCAAACUCCUACGGGAGGCAGCAGUGGGGAAUAUUGCACAAUGGGCGAAAGCCUGAUGCAGCGACGCCGCGUGAGCGAAGAAGUAUUUCGGUAUGUAAAGCUCUAUCAGCAGGGAAGAUAAUGACGGUACCUGACGAAGAAGCACCGGCUAAAUACGUG